GACAGAGGAUGCAAGCGUUAUCCGGAAUGAUUUGGGCGUAAAGCGUCUGUAGGUGGCUUUUCAAGUCCGCCGUCAAAUCCCAGGGCUCAACCCUGGACAGGCGGUGGAAACUACCAAAGCUGGAGUACGGUAGGGGCAGAGGGAAUUUCCGGUGGAGCGGUGAAAUGCAUUGAGAUCGGAAAGAACACCACGGCGAAAGCACUCUGCUGGGCCGACACUGACACUGAGAGACGAAAGCUAGGGGAGCAAAUGGG
rnacentral:rRNA from 1 species